rnacentral:rRNA from 1 species
AGCGAACGCUGGCGGCAGGCCUAACACAUGCAAGUCGAACGAGACCUUCGGGUCUAGUGGCGGACGGGUGAGUAACACGUGGGAACGUGCCUUUAGGUUCGGAAUAACUCAGGGAAACUUGUGCUAAUACCGAAUGUGCCCUUCGGGGGAAAGAUUUAUCGCCUUUAGUGCGGCCCGCGUCUGAUUAGCUAGUUGGUGAGGUAAUGGCUCACCAAGGCUACGAUCAGUAGCUGGUCUGAGAGGAUGAUCAGCCACAUUGGGACUGAGACACGGCCCAAACUCCUACGGGAGGCAGCAGUGGGGAAUCUUGCGCAAUGGGCGAAAGCCUGACGCAGCCAUGCCGCGUGUAUGAUGAAGGUCUUAGGAUUGUAAAAUACUUUCACCGGUGAAGAUAAUGACUGUAGCCGGAGAAGAAGCCCCGGCUAACUUCGUGCCAGCCGCCGCAGUAAUAC